CUAAGCACACUGUUGGUUAUGUGUGCCCAAGCAUUGAGGCAGUCAAAGUAGGCAAAUCCGCUUUGAUAAUGCUGGGAUGUGAUGGGGAGCGAAAUUUAGUAGCGAAGUAGCUGAUUUCACACUGUCAAGAAAAGUCUCUAUCGAGGUUAAAGGUACCCGUACCGCAAACCGACACAGGUGGGUGAGGAGAGUAUCCUAAGGCCAGCGAGAGAACUGUUGUUAAGGAACUCGGCAAAAUGACCCCGUAACUUAGGGAUAAGGGGUGCCACCAUCAGGUGGCCGCAGAGAAUAGGCCCAAGCGACUGUUUACCAAAAACAUAGGUUUCUGCUAAGUCGCAAGACGAUGUAUAGGAGCUGACGCCUGCCCGGUGCUGGAAGGUUAAGGGGAUCUGUUAGAGUAAUCGAAGCAGUGAACUUAAGCCCCAGUAAACGGCGGCCGUAACUAUAACGGUCCUAAGGUAGCGAAAUUCCUUGUCGGGUAAGUUCCGACCCGCACGAAAGGCGUAACGAUUUGGGCACUGUCUCAACAACAGACUCGGUGAAAUUGUAAUUCCGGUGAAGAUGCCGGAUACCUGCGACAGGACGGAAAGACCCCAUGGAGCUUUACUGUAGCUUGACAUUGGGUCUUGGUACUACAUGUACAGGAUAGGUGGGAGGCUUUGAAACCAGGACGCCAGUUUUGGCGGAGCCAUCCUUGGGAUACCACCCUUGUAGUACUGGGACUCUAACCAUAGGCCAUGAAUCUGGUCUUGGGACACUGUCAGGUGGGCAGUUUGACUGGGGCGGUCGCCUCCCAAAAGGUAACGGAGGCGCUCAAAGGUUCUCUCAGUACGGUCGGAAAUCGUACGUAGAGUGUAAAGGCAAAAGAGAGCUUGAUUGCAAGACAUACAGGUCGAGCAAGGAUGAAAAUCGGACUUAGUGAUCCGGUGGUUCUGCGUGGAAGGGCCAUCGCUCAACGGAUAAAAGCUACCCUGGGGAUAACAGGCUUAUCUCCCCCAAGAGUCCACAUCGACGGGGAGGUUUGGCACCUCGAUGUCGGCUCAUCACAUCCUGGGGCUGUAGUAGGUCCCAAGGGUUGGGCUGUUCGCCCAUUAAAGUGGUACGCGAGCUGGGUUCAGAACGUCGUGAGACAGUUCGGUCCCUAUCCGUCGCAGGCGUAGGAAAUUUGAGAAGACCUGUCCUUAGUACGAGAGGACCGGGAUGGACG
rnacentral:rRNA from 1 species